rnacentral:rRNA from 1 species
AUACGUAGGGUGCGAGCGUUGUCCGGAAUUACUGGGCGUAAAGAGCUCGUAGGUGGUUUGUCGCGUCGUCUGUGAAAUUCCGGGGCUUGACUCCGGGCGUGCAGGCGAUACGGGCAUAACUUGAGUACUGUAGGGGGGACUGGAAUUCCUGGUGUAGCGGUGAAAUGCGCAGAUAUCAGGAGGAACACCGGUGGCGAAGGCGGGUCUCUGGGCAGUAACUGACGCUGAGGAGCGAAAGCAUGGGUAGCGAACAGGAUUAGAUACCCUGGUAGUCCAUGCCGUAAACGGUGGGCGCUAGGUGUAGGGGUCUUCCACGACUUCUGUGCCGUAGCUAACGCAUUAAGCGCCCCGCCUGGGGAGUACGGCCGCAAGGCUAAAACUCAAAUGAAUUGACGGGG